UUGGCUGCUCUAUCUCUUCUCUGUCUCACCAUCAUCCCAGGGAAAAUAACUCAUAUCUCUCCUUCUCUCAUAUAUAUCUUGAUGAUUUUGAAUGGGAGAGCUAUCUGGAUAUGUAUUGUUGAAGAGAGAUACAGGCGCACCUAUGAGUUUUUUCAGAAUUUUGAUGAGGUGUUUUCCGUUUUAGCACUUUUUGUGGAGUAUAUCUCUAAAUUGACCUUUAUACAUCAGAGAAAUACCAAAAUGCAGGGAGAAAGAAGGAUCUGGAUUUCACAUUGGCUUCAGAGGUUGUUGUCUGGAGAAAUCAAGUUGUUUCGUGAUUUGAGAAUCUGUCUUGAGCUUGGAUACUUGGCUUUCUCUAUCUAGUUCGCGCGUCAAAGAGAAAGAUAUCAAGAAGUAUUACGGGAAAAAUCACAGUCUCAGUUUGAUAUUGAUCAAUGUGAAGCAUAUUACGAAGUUGCUGGGGGAACAAGGAAGAGAAGAAUAUAUGGUCUUGGAUCUCAAGCACAAAAUUAUGCACUAACAAUACUUGAUGGAUGUGUGGGUUCUUUUGGUAGUUGAUAGCUUGGUGUUGUCGGUGUUUUGGACUUAACGAUUAGGAUUCCGCUAUCUAUUUUGAAUCUUUUUUAUAAAUAUUAUUUUAUGUGAAUGUCAGUUAUUUUUAAAGGUAUUUAUUACUUUGUAU